rnacentral:lncRNA from 1 species
UUUAGUCCCCCUCUUCAAGUUCCUGUAUCAGUAAUUUGGCUUCUGGUUUUGAAAUCAGAAUAACCCAUCUAAGUAAUCUAAUGCUUUGCCAUUAGGUUUCGUGUCUCUUCUCUGUCAUUAUGGCUGAACAAAAAGAGAUAUAUCAAAUGAAAGUGAAAAAAGAAAAGCACAAAAAAAACGGCUUUAACUGUUAUCAGUAAUCUGGAGAGGCAUAGAUGUCCAAUGAUGGUUAUCUUGUAAUGAAUCCAAGAAUUUCAUAGUUAGUGAUAUUACUCUCUUUUGGCAUAUGAGACUUGUUUUGAAACAUCUAACUAAUACUUUAUUAAUGAAGCAAGGCUAAUUCUUUAAUAAAAGGCCAAUUAAUUUUGAAGAGAAUAUAAGUUUGAUAUCUGAAAGCUGAAAAGGAGAAAGGACUGGAAAGAGGGUGGAAAGAUCAGAAGAGGAAGAAAGCGAAGACGUAUAUAUCUUAAUAUACAUUCUUUUGGAGAAGAAUCUGAACAAGAACAAGAACAAGAAUAAUAAUAAGAUUUUUGCAAGAUUUCCAAGAUCACACCUUCACAUCAGGUUCCUCUCUGAUCACUUUAAGGGAAAGGAAAAUUUAACUUAACGGAACCUAAUUCCCUGAUGCUAAAACAAAAUGGAUCUAAUCUCAAAAACAAGGAUUUUUAUUCAAUAGUCUUUACUGUUUUUAAAUGUGUUUCAAAUUUACAACCUUCAUUCGUACGCUAUACAUCAGUACCAUUGAAAAAUGGGUGGAAUCUUAUUCAAAGAAACAGACAUUCUUGAAAUUUUUCUAAGAUAUCUGCUGCAAUUUGUCAGAAUCAUACAACAAUACAUAAGAAACAAGGAGAGUUGGUAUGUUAUGGUGGGGAAACAUGGUUAACUAAAUUUUGAAAUUAAAAGACUAGUAGGUGAAAGUAGAGAGACUUACAUCUAUAUAAUUUAUAAUGGAAUCUUGAUGUGAAGAUGAGUUGGGGUCCAAAGCUAUAAAGCUAAUCCUAUGACCUUGUUAAGUUUUCAAUUAAGUCAUGAUUUUCUAAAGUAUGUGAUUUCUUGCAUCUUCCUGCAAGUUUUAAAGUUCAUAGGACAAGGUAAAACACUACAAGCAGACUCAUGAAGCUCCUAGCUAUACUCGAAAGAAAUACACCCCGUCUUGCAUUUGUUAAAAUUAAGAUUCUCCCACUAUAGUCCAACUACUCUGCAGCUUUGACUUUGCGCAAGUUUUAUACAUUUGCUAAACAUAUGUAUUAUGCUUGCAAUACUAAUAAUUCAUAAAUAAAUAAGGUUGUCUACUACACAUGUCAUCCAUGCAAGAGGCAGGACCCAGUUCAUAGUUGACUCACUCGAUUAAUCUAAACCCUAAGAAAUAAUUUAAAAGAAAAAAAAAAAUUCAUUCACUACUUAUCACAUUAUGAUAAUCAAUCAUCGAAUACUUGAUUAAUGCCUUCAUGCAAAUUGUAAACUAUAUAGAAAAACAAAACUUGUAAGGUAGUUUGCCAUUAUACACAAAUAAAUAAUAUCAUACAAAGAUAGGUUAAUGGGUUGGCCAAAGAACCUAUGAGAGAGUGACAAGUGCAUACAAGAGAGAGAAAGGACGGCAUAUAAUACCUUAUGAUUAUGUAUAAUUGAGCUAACACCAUGCCAUAACAGGAAAUGAUAAACAGAACAGAAGUUAGAAUAAACAAUUAAAGUAAGAUAAGACAUAAAAAUAAGCCGACCAGAGUUUCUUGUGACAGUGGUUUAGAAUCAAAAUCAUCUUAGGCUUUCGAGUUCUUCACGUCACUGUUUUUUCUUUAUAUAUAUAUUUUUUUGAAAGGUUUUUUCUUUAUAUAUUACAUAUUUAUUUUGGCUCAAAUUAAAAUUCAAGUUAAGUGAUAUCUGAGUCAUUUUUAUACACAUCUUGAGUUUUUUUUUUUUUUUUCUGGACGAGUUCAAGAAUUCACUCCAAGCUGAAUCUACAUAUUUAAAUAUGACCUUAUAAGUGUCGGUCUUGAGGAAACUCUGCUAAUACUCAGAUUAAUCCUUCUGGCAUAUAAUUCAUUUUAAUGAAAAAAAAGAAAAGAAAGGAGAAGAGAAGAAGUUUGGGUGUGAUUGUGAAUUGCUGACUUGGGCUUCAAAUUUGUCAAUCACGUGGGGGCAGCCCGUCAUGGUAGACCACACACUAAAGGGCGUAAACUUUUG